rnacentral:misc_RNA from 1 species
AGAUUGAAAGCCUCAAAGUGCAGGCAGAACUGGUGACCGAAACAGUUAAAAACCGUCAACAUCCAUGUAGCAUUCUCAACUUCUUGAGGAUUAGAUUUGACAUAACGAUGAUUGAAGGUACAGCCAUCAUGCAUAUCAACUUUGUGAUCAUCUUUUAGGUGUGCAACGAGGUACUGAAUAUCACCGGUAACAGCGCAUUCAGAUCCUGCAUAUGGGCAAUUGUAUGGUCGAAAUCUGCAGUUCUGCUCAUGACGAAGCCUAGUAUGAUAAGUGAAUAUAUCUUGACAGCCAUAAAUUUGGUAUCGGCACGGCAAUUCUAGUGACUCAGCAAUUUUUUCCAGUGCUAAACAUCUUAUGUUUCCAAGCUCAUGGCGGCAAAUUGGACACACAUGUACUUUUGACUUGCACUUCACGCAUAACGUGUGGCCGUUUGGACACUGGUGAAUUGGUGGAUACAUUGGAUUCAUACAAACAGGGCAUUCAAGUAGCUCAUGAACAGCACUAUUAGAUCCAACUCCAUUCUUCCCACCAAUAACAGCUGCAGCUUUUCUAAAGGGGGAGUUUUUGAACUCAGCACUUUCUGGUGCAAUACCAUAGUCAGAAUAUGCACUGCGGGAAUCACCAAUAUCCUGGUAGUUACUGCCUCCGGGAGCCAUGGUAUCUAUAUAAACUACUAUGUGUUGACAACAAUAUAUAUCCUCCACAAAUCUGAUCUUCUAGCUCUCUUGACGGCCCUGAUCCAAGAUAAGAUUUUGUACGUAAAAGCCAGAUUAACUCAUCCCAUUCUCAACAAAAGCAACCAAUAAUUGGGUCUUCCUGAUAGGCUUCAUCAACAACAAAAAAAAGGAAAACAAAGACAAAAACCAAGAACAGAAAAUGAAAGGGUCUUAACAAAAGGGUAAGAGUGGGUGGUUGAGAUGCACCAAAUAUCCUUAAAAGCUUUCUCCUUGAUUUUCGUGUCCACCAAAACAGGCUCUUGUUUUUUCAACAGUAAAUCUGAGAAAACAAAACCAUUUGUUUGUUUCUCUUUACAAGUAUACAAAUCUAAAGGGUAACAAGAGUCAAAGAUUUGAAAAGGG